rnacentral:tRNA from 1 species
UAGCUCAGUAGGUGGAGCAUGAGGCUCUUAAUCUCAGGGUUGUGGGUUCAUGCCCUC